UGAUGGCAGACGAUCGCUGGUGAGUCGCGAGACUCAUUAGAGGAAAGUCCGAACACCACACGGCAGCAUGCCGCGUAAAAAACGCGGGCGCCGCAUUUGUAAGAUUGCGGCGACGGAAAGUGUCACAGAAAUGAUACCGCCGGUUCUUUGAGAAAAGUGCAGGCAAGGGUGAAAAGGCGAGGUAAGAGCUCACCGCGCGCGAAGUAAUUCACGCGGCAGGAAAAACCCCAUGCGGUGCAAGACAAAACAGGAGGAGGACAGCCGGUCCGUUGAUCUCCGGGUAUCGUCGCACGCGGCCGACACGAAAGUGGAGGCCCGUCCAGCUCCAGUUUAAAAACUGGGGCUGGAAGAUAAAUGAUCGUCGCUUCGAAGAAAUUCGGGAGACAGAAUUCGGCUUACCGCCAUCAAAUU
rnacentral:RNase_P_RNA from 1 species